UGGGGAAUCAUGGUCAAUGGGCGAAAGCCUGAACCUGCGACGCCGCGUGAGUGAUGAAGGUCGUAAGAUCGUAAAACUCUUUUCAGGGAUCUUAAAGCCUGUCUGUCAACAACAGGCAGGUCUGACUCUCCCUGGAAGAAGCCCCAGCCAACUACGUGCCAGCAGCUGCGGUAAUACGUAGGGGGCGAGCGUUAUUCGGAAUUACUGGGUGUAAAGGGUAUGUAGGCGGCCCUUCAAGUCGCGUGUCAAAGUCCAGUGCUCAACGCUGGGUGUGCGCGCGAUACUGACGGGCUUGAGGGCUGGAGAGGAUAGCGGAAUUCCCGGUGUAGUGGUAAAAUACGUAGAGAUCGGGAGGAACACCAGCGGCGCAGGCGGCUCACUAGACAGUUUCUGACGCUAAGAUACGAAAGCGUGGGGAUCAAACA
rnacentral:rRNA from 1 species